rnacentral:misc_RNA from 1 species
GGCACGCCCGAAGUCGUUACUCCAACCCGCAAGGGAGGAGGACGCCGAAGGUGGGGCUGAUGACUGGGGUGAAGUCGUAACAAGGUAGCCGUACCGGAAGGUGCGGCUGGAUCACCUCCUAACAGGGAGACAAUAACUGAUUGUGAUGUCUGGCUAAAUUAUUGCUAGGCCAUGAUCCUGUCAUCUCGAUGGUUAAUCGGUACCUCAACCGACAGAGACGAAGUCAUAGGUUGCUCCAGAAAUGGGGAAACCAAUGAGCUGUCGUUAAUGUCUUUUCAGUUCCUAAACUUUGUCUAGGUCACCCCGCAAGGGUAUCCCUGGGCCAUUAGCUCAGGUGGUUAGA